GAUGAAGAACGUAGCGAAAUGCGAUAAGUAAUGUGAAUUGCAGAAUUCAGUGAAUCAUCGAAUCUUUGAACGCACAUCGCGCCCAUUAGCAUUCUAGUGGGCAUGCCUGUUCGAGCGUCAUUUCAACCCUUAAGCCCUGUUGCUUAGCGUUGGGAGCCUACAGUACUGUAGCUCCCCAAAGUUAGUGGCGGAGUCGGUUUCACACUCUAGACGUAGUAAUUUUUUCUCGUCUGUAGUUGAGCCGGUCCCCUGCCGUAAAACACCCAAUUUAUCAAGGUUGACCUCGGAUCAGGUAGGAAUACCCGCUGAACUUAAGCAUAUCAAUAAGCGGAGGA
rnacentral:misc_RNA from 1 species